rnacentral:rRNA from 1 species
GAUGAACGCUGGCGGCGUGCCUAAUACAUGCAAGUCGAGCGAACAGACGAGGAGCUUGCUCCUCUGACGUUAGCGGCGGACGGGUGAGUAACACGUAGAUAACCUACCUAUAAGACUGGGAUAACUUCGGGAAACCGAAGCUAAUACCGGAUAAUAUAUUGAACCGCAUGGUUCAAUAGUGAAAGACGGUUUUGCUGUCACUUAUAGAUGGAUCCGCGCCGCAUUAGCUAGUUGGUAAGGUAACGGCUUACCAAGGCAACGAUGCGUAGCCGACCUGAGAGGGUGAGCGGCCACAGUGGAACGGAGACCCGUCCGAGCCUCAGCCGGGAGGCAGAGAGGGGGAUUCUCCCGAAAAGGGCAAAAGCCGAAGGGAGAACCGCCGGGGGAGUAAUAAAGGUCUUGGUAUCAAAAACCUUUUUUAUGAGGGAAAAAAAAAGGUAUAAGUAAAUCUGCACGCCUGGGGGGCACCUAAUAAAAAAACCACGGCAAACUAGGGC